UCAGUCUGAAAAUGAUCUCAGGUGAAACGGUGAUCUGUGAUCAGACAACUGAGCCUAAAGUAUUGUGUUACAUUUAGCUUAUUGCCUGUUUUGAUUUGCAGAGUGAUAAAACCCAUGUACCAACAAAU
ensembl:snoRNA small nucleolar RNA ACA64